AACGCACCUUGCGCUCCUUGGUAUUCCGAGGAGCAUGCCUGUUUGAGUGUCAUUAAAUUCUCAACCUUACCAGCUUUUGCGAGUUCGGUAAUGGCUUGGAUGUGGGGGUUUUGUGCCGGCUUCCUAGUGAAGUCAGCUCCCCUUAAAUGUAUUAGCCGGUGCCCUUUGUGGACUGUCUAUUGGUGUGAUAAUUAUCUACGCCGUGGACUUCUGCUUUGAAUGGGUGCACUGCUUCUAACCGUCUGUUCAUUCGGACAAUACUUGACAAUUUGACCUCAAAUCAGGUAGGACUACCCGCUGAACUUAA
rnacentral:misc_RNA from 1 species